rnacentral:rRNA from 1 species
AGAGUUUGAUUCUGGCUCAGGACGAACGCUGGCGGCGUGCCUAACACAUGCAAGUCGAACGAGAAUCAUACGAAGGAGUUUUCGGACAACGGAGUAUGAGGACAGUGGCGGACGGGUGAGUAAUGCGUGAGCAACCUGCCCUUCAGAGGGGGACAACAGUUGGAAACGACUGCUAAUACCGCAUAACGUAUCCGGGAGGCAUCUUCUGGAUACCAAAGAUUUUAUCGCUGAGGGAUGGGCUCACGUCUGAUUAGCUAGUUGGUAGGGUAACGGCCUACCAAGGCUGCGAUCAGUAGCCGGACUGAGAGGUUGAACGGCCACAUUGGGACUGAGAUACGGCCCAG